GGCGCAAACUUCAAGUGGAGUGAAUUGGUGUGGUCAGGUGAUCGUACUAAUCGACUCUACUUCAAAUUUGGGCCC
rnacentral:pre_miRNA from 1 species